rnacentral:misc_RNA from 1 species
AAGACUAUAGACCUGCGGAGUACCUGCGGAGGGAUCAUUACAGGACUCGCAAGACUCCUACAACCCUGUGAACCUACUAUACGAACGUUGCUUCGGCGGGUGCGCCCCGGGGAUUCGUUCCCGCGGCGCGUCAGCCCGCCGGCAGCCUACAAAUUCUGUUUCUUUGCGUUGGCAUCUCGAGAAAAACAAAUAAGUUAAAACUUUCAACAACGGAUCUCU